rnacentral:rRNA from 1 species
AUUGAACGCUGGCGGCAUGCUUUACACAUGCAAGUCGAACGGUAACAGGCCGCGAGGUGCUGACGAGUGGCGAACGGGUGAGUAAUGCAUCGGAACGUGCCCAGUCGUGGGGGAUAACGCAGCGAAAGCUGCGCUAAUACCGCAUACGAUCUGUGGAUGAAAGCGGGGGACCGUAAGGCCUCGCGCGAUUGGAGCGGCCGAUGUCAGAUUAGGUAGUUGGUGGGGUAAAGGCUCACCAAGCCAACGAUCUGUAGCUGGUCUGAGAGGACGACCAGCCACACUGGGACUGAGACACGGCCCAGACUCCUACGGGAGGCAGCAGUGGGGAAUUUUGGACAAUGGGCGCAAGCCUGAUCCAGCAAUGCCGCGUGCAGGAAGAAGGCCUUCGGGUUGUAAACUGCUUUUGUACGGAACGAAACGGUCCUGGUUAAUACCUGGGGCUAAUGACGGUACCGUAAGAAUAAGCACCGGCUAACUACGUGCCAGCCGCCGCCGUAAUAC